GGUCCGUAAGAAGGUGAUUAGUAGCAUAAACUAACAGUGAGGUGAGUAAGAAGGUGAUUAGUAGCAUAAACUAACAGUGAGGUCAGUAAGAAGGUGAUUAGUAGCAUAAACUAACAGUGAGGUCAGUAAGAAGGUGAUUAGUAGCAUAAACUAACAGUGAGGUCAGUAAGAAGGUGAUUAGUAGCAUAAACUAACAGUGAGGUCAGUAGGAAGGUGAUUAGUGGCAUAC